rnacentral:lncRNA from 1 species
ACACGGGCAGGUGGCCCCAGCUCGUCCGGGUCUGGGUUUCUUCUAGAAGGAAGGCACAGCUGCCUGCCCUGAGCUCCCUCUCUGCAGUCCAGCUACCAAGCCUAGUGGCUUUAUUUCAGACACAGCUCCAAGCGUCCCUAUCCUUUGCCCAGAGAUUUAAGACCAGGAGUGAAUUUUAUUUUUAAAAAUGGGCUGUUGUCCCCCUUUCCUCCCCCAUUUUCCUGGAGAGCCGACUCUCAGGGCUCCUUGGAGAGGAUCUGUCCAGGGUCCAGGUUUUGUGUUUUUAUUUCGGGACCAUUCUGAAAGCAAUCUCCCCUUCGCUCCUCAAUAAAUACAGGUAGACUCCAGGCGAGGACUUGCUUUCAUUUUUAAAAAGUUGCCUUGACUUCCUGCUAGCAAAGAAAAGAAAUAAAAUUUAAGAAAAAAAAAAAAAGGCCAGGCACAGUGGCUCACGCCUGUAAUCCCAGCACUUUGGGAGGCUGAGGCAGGCAGAUCACGAGGUCAGAAGAUGAAGACCAUCCUGGCUAACACGGUGAAACCCUGUCUCUACAAAAAAUAUAAAAAAUUAGUCGGUCCCAGCUAAUUGGGAGGCCGAGGCAGGAGAAUCGUUUGAACCUGGGAGGUGGAGGUUGCAGUGAGCCGAAGUCACG